rnacentral:rRNA from 1 species
UGGGGAAUCUUGGACAAUGGGGGCAACCCUGAUCCAGCGAUGCCGCGUGAGCGAAGAAGGCCUUAGGGUUGUAAAGCUCUUUCGCCCGCGACGAUGAUGACGGUAGCGGGAGAAGAAGCCCCGGCUAACUCCGUGCCAGCAGCCGCGGUAAUACGGAGGGGGCUAGCGUUGUCCGGAAUUACUGGGCGUAAAGCGCGCGUAGGCGGUCCACCAAGUCGGGGGUGAAAGCCCGGGGCUCAACCCCGGAAUGUCCUCCGAGACUGUUGGACUGGAGUUCGGGAGAGNAGAGCGGAAUUCCCAGUGUAGAGGUGAAAUUCGUAGAUAUUGGGAAGGACACCGGUGGCGAAGGCGGCUCUCUGGCCCGCAACUGACGCUGAGGCGCGAAAGCGUGGGGAGCAAACA